AUUGAACGCUGGCGGCAUGCCUUACACAUGCAAGUCGAACGGUAACAGGUCUUCGGAUGCUGACGAGUGGCGAACGGGUGAGUAAUACAUCGGAACGUGCCCGAUCGUGGGGGAUAACGGAGCGAAAGCUUUGCUAAUACCGCAUACGAUCUACGGAUGAAAGCAGGGGACCGCAAGGCCUUGCGCGGACGGAGCGGCCGAUGGCAGAUUAGGUAGUUGGUGGGAUAAAAGCUUACCAAGCCGACGAUCUGUAGCUGGUCUGAGAGGACGACCAGCCACACUGGGACUGAGACACGGCCCAGACUCCUACGGGAGGCAGCAGUGGGGAAUUUUGGACAAUGGGCGAAAGCCUGAUCCAGCCAUGCCGCGUGCAGGAUGAAGGCCUUCGGGUUGUAAACUGCUUUGUACGGUAACGAAAGACUACCUUCUAAUAAAGGGGUCCAGUGACGGUACCGUAAGAAUAAGACACCGGCUAACUACGUGCCAGCAGCCGCGGUAAACGUCUA
rnacentral:rRNA from 1 species